CAUUCAUUGGUCCUGUUAGAAAUCACCCAUGAAUGAUUUCCUUUAUUUUCUUUCUCUCUCAUGAGUCAUACAGAAUCCCUCAGAUUACUCAUAGCCUUCUCCCUGCUGAGCUAACAGGAAUUGACUACCCACACCUGCCCAUGUCUGCCUUCAAGUAGUGUUCACACCUGCCUGGGCAUCCACACUAAGAUGAGCAGCAUCACAGGAGAGGAAAAGCCAAGGAGAUGCCUGCCUUGUCUGCAGAAACAGGAUGGUCAGCUAUCUAAGCCCAUAGCUGGAGUCACCAGUCUUCCUUCUCCCAGGGCUGUUUAUCACUUGAAUCAUUUGAACAGAAGAUCACAAGACCACUGA
rnacentral:lncRNA from 1 species